rnacentral:rRNA from 1 species
UACGAAGGGGGCUAGCGUUGCUCGGAAUCACUGGGCGUAAAGCGCACGUAGGCGGCUUUCUAAGUCAGGGGUGAAAUCCUGGAGCUCAACUCCAGAACUGCCUUUGAUACUGGAGAGCUUGAGUCCGGAAGAGGUGAGUGGAACUCCGAGUGUAGAGGUGAAAUUCGUAGAUAUUCGGAAGAACACCAGUGGCGAAGGCGGCUCACUGGUCCGGUACUGACGCUGAGGUGCGAAAGCGUGGGGAGCAAACAGGAU